ensembl:ncRNA Y41E3.460 ncRNA
UUCCGGAACUUUCUAGAAAAAUUGGGAAAAGUCUAGAAUGUUCCAGAACUUUCUAGAAAAAUUGGGAAAUUUCUGGAAUGUUCCAGAACUUUCUAGAAAAAUUGGGAAAAGUCUGGAAUGGUCCAGAACUUUCUAGAAAAAUUGGGAAAAUUCUGGAAUGUUCCAGAACUUUCUAGAAAAAUCGGGAAAUUUCUGUAAUGUUCCAGAACUUUCUAGAAAAAUCGG